CGGGCGACCGGCGCACGGGUGAGUAACGCGUAUGCAACCUACCUAUCAGAGGGGGAUAACCCGGCGAAAGUCGGACUAAUACCGCAUGAAGCAGGGGCCCCGCAUGGGGAUAUUUGCUAAAGAUUCAUCGCUGAUAGAUAGGCAUGCGUUCCAUUAGGCAGUUGGCGGGGUAACGGCCCACCAAACCGACGAUGGAUAGGGGUUCUGAGAGGAAGGUCCCCCACAUUGGUACUGAGACACGGACCAAACUCCUACGGGAGGCAGCAG
rnacentral:rRNA from 1 species